GAUGAACGCUGGCGGCGUGCCUAAUACAUGCAAGUCGAGCGAACAGACGAGGAACUUGCUCCUCUGACGUUAGCGGCGGACGGGUGAGUAACACGUGGAUAACCUACCUAUAAGACUGGGAUAACUUCGGGAAACCGGAGCUAAUACCGGAUAAUAUAUUGAACCGCAUGGUUCAAUAGUGAAAGACGGUUUUGCUGUCACUUAUAGAUGGAUCCGCGCCGCAUUAGCUAGUUGGUAAGGUAACGGCUUACCAAGGCAACGAUGCGUAGCCGACCUGAGAGGGUGAUCGGCCACACUGGAACUGAGACACGGUCCAGACUCCUACGGGAGGCAGCAGUAGGGAAUCUUCCGCAAUGGGCGAAAGCCUGACGGAGCAACGCCGCGUGAGUGAUGAAGGUCUUCGGAUCGUAAAACUCUGUUAUUAGGGAAGAAUUAAUGUGUAAGUAACUAUGCACGUCUUGACGGUACCUAAUCAGAAAGCCACGGCUAACUACGUG
rnacentral:rRNA from 1 species